UGGUCAAAUAUCACCGUCUACUAGAAGUGAAUGUAGAUUCGUGAUGUUGGACCGG
rnacentral:pre_miRNA from 1 species